GGAAAAUAAAGUAUGUUAAAAGUCCGGUCCAUAGUCUAAAGGGAGCAGGUGGGCAACCAGACUCCUCCAAUGCAAUGUGGCAAGAUUGCUCUCGUCACACAUUCAAACACACAAACACUGCUUAGUGCUAAAUACAACCCUGCAAGGAUGGGCAAAUAGUAGAUCCUCAGCUGGCAAUGCAUUUGAGUUGGGAUAUGUACCCCAGAUGGGGAUAUAGCUUUUGGCAAUCCUAGCGAUAGGAAUUUCUUGCACCAGGGCCCUCCGUUCUGCC